rnacentral:rRNA from 1 species
GGGUUGUGAGGUUAAGCGACUAAGCGUACACGGUGGAUGCCCUGGCAGUCAGAGGCGAUGAAGGACGUGCUAAUCUGCGAUAAGCGUCGGUAAGGUGAUAUGAACCGUUAUAACCGGCGAUUUCCGAAUGGGGAAACCCAGUGUGUUUCGACACACUAUCAUUAACUGAAUCCAUAGGUUAAUGAGGCGAACCGGGGGAACUGAAACAUCUAAGUACCCCGAGGAAAAGAAAUCAACCGAGAUUCCCCCAGUAGCGGCGAGCGAACGGGGAGGAGCCCAGAGCCUGAAUCAGUGUGUGUGUUAGUGGAAGCGUCUGGAAAGGCGCGCGAUACAGGGUGACAGCCCCGUACACAAAAAUGCACAUAUUGUGAGCUCGAUGAGUAGGGCGGGACACGUGGUAUCCUGUCUGAAUAUGGGGGGACCAUCCUCCAAGGCUAAAUACUCCUGACUGACCGAUAGUGAACCAGUACCGUGAGGGAAAGGCGAAAAGAACCCCGGCGAGGGGAGUGAAAAAGAACCUGAAACCGUGUACGUACAAGCAGUGGGAGCCUCUUUUAUGGGGUGACUGCGUACCUUUUGUAUAAUGGGUCAGCGACUUAUAUUCUGUAGCAAGGUUAACCGAAUAGGGGAGCCGAAGGGAAACCGAGUCUUAACUGGGCGUUAAGUUGCAGGGUAUAGACCCGAAACCCGGUGAUCUAGCCAUGGGCAGGUUGAAGGUUGGGUAACACUAACUGGAGGACCGAACCGACUAAUGUUGAAAAAUUAGCGGAUGACUUGUGGCUGGGGGUGAAAGGCCAAUCAAACCGGGAGAUAGCUGGUUCUCCCCGAAAGCUAUUUAGGUAGCGCCUCGUGAAUUCAUCUCCGGGGGUAGAGCACUGUUUCGGCAAGGGGGUCAUCCCGACUUACCAACCCGAUGCAAACUGCGAAUACCGGAGAAUGUUAUCACGGGAGACACACGGCGGGUGCUAACGUCCGUCGUGAAGAGGGAAACAACCCAGACCGCCAGCUAAGGUCCCAAAGUCAUGGUUAAGUGGGAAACGAUGUGGGAAGGCCCAGACAGCCAGGAUGUUGGCUUAGAAGCAGCCAUCAUUUAAAGAAAGCGUAAUAGCUCACUGGUCGAGUCGGCCUGCGCGGAAGAUGUAACGGGGCUAAACCAUGCACCGAAGCUGCGGCAGCGACACUAUGUGUUGUUGGGUAGGGGAGCGUUCUGUAAGCCUGUGAAGGUGUACUGUGAGGUAUGCUGGAGGUAUCAGAAGUGCGAAUGCUGACAUAAGUAACGAUAAAGCGGGUGAAAAGCCCGCUCGCCGGAAGACCAAGGGUUCCUGUCCAACGUUAAUCGGGGCAGGGUGAGUCGACCCCUAAGGCGAGGCCGAAAGGCGUAGUCGAUGGGAAACAGGUUAAUAUUCCUGUACUUGGUGUUACUGCGAAGGGGGGACGGAGAAGGCUAUGUUGGCCGGGCGACGGUUGUCCCGGUUUAAGCGUGUAGGCUGGUUUUCCAGGCAAAUCCGGAAAAUCAAGGCUGAGGCGUGAUGACGAGGCACUACGGUGCUGAAGCAACAAAUGCCCUGCUUCCAGGAAAAGCCUCUAAGCAUCAGGUAACAUCAAAUCGUACCCCAAACCGACACAGGUGGUCAGGUAGAGAAUACCAAGGCGCUUGAGAGAACUCGGGUGAAGGAACUAGGCAAAAUGGUGCCGUAACUUCGGGAGAAGGCACGCUGAUAUGUAGGUGAAGUCCCUCGCGGAUGGAGCUGAAAUCAGUCGAAGAUACCAGCUGGCUGCAACUGUUUAUUAAAAACACAGCACUGUGCAAACACGAAAGUGGACGUAUACGGUGUGACGCCUGCCCGGUGCCGGAAGGUUAAUUGAUGGGGUCAGCGCAAGCGAAGCUCUUGAUCGAAGCCCCGGUAAACGGCGGCCGUAACUAUAACGGUCCUAAGGUAGCGAAAUUCCUUGUCGGGUAAGUUCCGACCUGCACGAAUGGCGUAAUGAUGGCCAGGCUGUCUCCACCCGAGACUCAGUGAAAUUGAACUCGCUGUGAAGAUGCAGUGUACCCGCGGCAAGACGGAAAGACCCCGUGAACCUUUACUAUAGCUUGACACUGAACAUUGAGCCUUGAUGUGUAGGAUAGGUGGGAGGCUUAGAAGUGUGGACGCCAGUCUGCAUGGAGCCGACCUUGAAAUACCACCCUUUAAUGUUUGAUGUUCUAACGUUGACCCGUGAUCCGGGUUGCGGACAGUGUCUGGUGGGUAGUUUGACUGGGGCGGUCUCCUCCUAAAGAGUAACGGAGGAGCACGAAGGUUGGCUAAUCCUGGUCGGACAUCAGGAGGUUAGUGCAAUGGCAUAAGCCAGCUUGACUGCGAGCGUGACGGCGCGAGCAGGUGCGAAAGCAGGUCAUAGUGAUCCGGUGGUUCUGAAUGGAAGGGCCAUCGCUCAACGGAUAAAAGGUACUCCGGGGAUAACAGGCUGAUACCGCCCAAGAGUUCAUAUCGACGGCGGUGUUUGGCACCUCGAUGUCGGCUCAUCACAUCCUGGGGCUGAAGUAGGUCCCAAGGGUAUGGCUGUUCGCCAUUUAAAGUGGUACGCGAGCUGGGUUUAGAACGUCGUGAGACAGUUCGGUCCCUAUCUGCCGUGGGCGCUGGAGAACUGAGGGGGGCUGCUCCUAGUACGAGAGGACCGGAGUGGACGCAUCACUGGUGUUCGGGUUGUCAUGCCAAUGGCACUGCCCGGUAGCUAAAUGCGGAAGAGAUAAGUGCUGAAAGCAUCUAAGCACGAAACUUGCCCCGAGAUGAGUUCUCCCUGACCCUUUAAGGGUCCUGAAGGAACGUUGAAGACGACGACGUUGAUAGGCCGGGUGUGUAAGCGCAGCGAUGCGUUGAGCUAACCGGUACUAAUGAACCGUGAGGCUUAACCUUACAACGCCGAAGCUGUU